ACCAAACAGCCCUUGUUUUCUCCUUCAACCAACAGCCCUAACGAAACCCACCCCACCGCCGCCGCUCUAUCACUUCCAUCGCUGCCUCCACUGCCACCACGUCCCCUUCUGUUUGACGUGGUGGCAGAACUGAAAAGAAAAAGCAAUAGGAGGUCGUUUCAACCUCUGUAGAAGAGGAACGCGAUGAACCGCUGGUUUCAAGUUCGCCUCUCCUUCGAUCCGGUGGGUAUAAGUUCGUUCAGCCCUCAAUCCCGAAAACCAUGGAGAAAUCUCCAAAUUCGGAGUCCCAACGAAUCCACAGCCAUCAAAUCUUAUCUGAAAAGGUGAUUCUUUUCCUCCUGACCAUAAUUUUUAUCUUUUUCCAGUCAUUAGAGAUUUUUUCCUUUUUUUUUAUCUCUUUCAAAAUUCAAAUUCAGCAUUUGAGGGAGCCGUUAACCCCAUCCUUUGGUUAUAAAUAGAGCUCAUUUUAGGCUGUUGAUAGAGGCAGGGAAUUGCAGGGAAUUGGAGAGAAAACUUUUAUUUUACUCUAAAGCUGAAUUGGAGAAUCCCUUUCUUUUUCAUAAGUCUUCGUAACUAGAAAAUCCGUAAUUCUUCCUAAGUUCUCAGAAAAUCCUGUUUUAACUCUAAGUUCUUUUGGCUGUAUAAUUUUGGUUAUUCUCGGCUGAGCAAGGACCAUUUCGAGUGGAUUCGGAGACUCGACGACGACGUUAGCCUCAGUUCGCUGUCACAAAGAAGGAACCUUGGGAGCAUUUGGAGUUAUGGCAACUCCAGAUUCUGCCCAUAUCAGAGAACCGCCAGUUGCAGGAUUUAAUUGCUCAUGUCUAGCGUCCCCGUCUUCCUUCCUUCGUGUCUUCGUGCUAUCAUAUAUAUACAUGUUUAUAUUCUUGACUAACAUUCUUUUAUGGAUUGUAUUUGUAGCAUAUUUGUUUCUCGCUUGUCUAUGAACUUGCGGAAAAAAAAAAUGGUUUAGUAUGAUAGUGAAUUUAGUCAUUUACUUCCCUUCCCUUUUAGAUACCAAUCCUGAUUUAGAGUGAAAGACAUUUUACUAAUCGUUUUAAGGGAAUGUCUUUUAGUA